rnacentral:misc_RNA from 1 species
UCACGGUAUCAAGCUUGGCUUGGUGUUGAGCCCUUUGUCACCUGGUGACAGGUCCGAAAGACAAUGACUGGUGUAACAGACUCCAUAUGCAACGAGCUUAUAACAGCACGCAUUUGGCAGUUGUGUGACCAGGUCUUCACCCUUUCUUUCUCAA